GUGGCGAACGGGUGAGUAACACGUGAGUAACCUGCCCCUGACUCUGGGAUAAGCGUUGGAAACGACGUCUAAUACUGGAUAUGACUUCCGGCCGCAUGGUCUGGUUGUGGAAAGAUUUUUUGGUUGGGGAUGGACUCGCGGCCUAUCAGCUUGUUGGUGAGGUAAUGGCUCACCAAGGCGACGACGGGUAGCCGGCCUGAGAGGGUGACCGGCCACACUGGGACUGAGACACGGCCCAGACUCCUACGGGAGGCAGCAGUGGGGAAUAUUGCACAAUGGGCGAAAGCCUGAUGCAGCAACGCCGCGUGAGGGAUGACGGCCUUCGGGUUGUAAACCUCUUUUAGUAGGGAAGAAGCGAAAGUGACGGUACCUGCAGAAAAAGCACCGGCUAACUACGUGCCAGCAGCCGCGGUAAUACGUAGGGUGCAAGCGUUGUCCGGAAUUAUUGGGCGUAAAGAGCUCGUAGGCGGUUUGUCGCGUCUGCUGUGAAAUCCCGAGGCUCAACCUCGGGCUUGCAGUGGGUACGGGCAGACUAGAGUGCGGUAGGGGAGAUUGGAAUUCCUGGUGUAGCGGUGGAAUGCGCAGAUAUCAGGAGGAACACCGAUGGCGAAGGCAGAUCUCUGGGCCGUAACUGACGCUGAGGAGCGAAAGCAUGGGGAGCGAACAGGAUUAGAUACCCUGGUA
rnacentral:rRNA from 1 species